rnacentral:rRNA from 1 species
GCCUCUUGGUCUGGGACAACUGUUGGAAACGACAGCUAAUACCAGAUAUUAUGAGAUUCUCGCAUGAGAAACUUAUGAAAGCUAUAUGCGCCAAGAGAGAGCCUUGCGUUCCAUUAGCUAGUUGGUGGGGUAACGGCCCACCAAGGCGACGAUGGAUAGCCGGCCUGAGAGGGUGAACGGCCACAAGGGGACCGAGACACGGCCCUUACUCCUACGGGAGGCAGCAGUGGGGAAUAUUGGACAAUGGGCCACAAGCCUGAUCCAGCAAUUCUGUGUGCACGAUGAAGGUCUUCGGAUUGUAAAGUGCUUUCAGUUGGGAAGAAGAAAGUGACGGUACCAACAGAAGAAGCGACGGCUAAAUACGUGCCAGCAGCCGCGGUAAUACGUAUGUCGCAAGCGUUAUCCGGAUUUAUUGGGCGUAAAGCGCGUCUAGGCGGAAAAAUAAGUCUGAUGUUAAAAUGCGGGGCUCAACUCCGUAUUGCGUUGGAAACUGUUUUUCUAGAGUACUGGAGAGGUGGGCGGAACUACAAGUGUAGAGGUGAAAUUCGUAGAUAUUUGUAGGAAUGCCGAUGGAGAAGUCAGCUCACUGGACAGAUACUGACGCUAAAGCGCGAAAGCGUGGGGAGCAAACAGGAUUAGAUACCCUGGUAGUCCACGCCGUAAACGAUGAUCACU